rnacentral:rRNA from 1 species
AGAACGAACGCUGGCGGUAUGCCUAACACAUGCAAGUCGAACGCGAAAGUGAUCUUCGGAUCGCGAGUAGAGUGGCGCACGGGUGAGUAACACGUGGAUAACCUGCCCUAUGAUCUGGGAUAACACUUCGAAAGGGGUGCUAAUACCGGAUAAGCCCACACAACCUUCGGGGCGAGUGGGAAAAGAUUUAUUGUCAUAGGAUGGGUCCGCGGUCCAUUAGCUAGUUGGUGGGGUAAUGGCCUACCAAGGCGACGAUGGAUAGCUGGUCUGAGAGGAUGAUCAGCCACACUGGAACUGAGACACGGUCCAGACUCCUACGGGAGGCAGCAGUGGGGAAUUUUGCGCAAUGGACGAAAGUCUGACGCAGCAAUACCGCGUGAAGGAUGAAGGCCCUUGGGUCGUAAACUUCUGUCAGAGGGGAAGAAAUACUCGCAAGAGUGCUGACGGUACCCUCAAAGGAAGCACCGGCUAACUCCGUGCCAGCAGCCGCGGUAAUACGGAGGGUGCAAGCGUUGUUCGGAAUUAUUGGGCGUAAAGAGCAUGUAGGCGGACUUCUAAGUCUGGUGUGAAAGCCCGGGGCUCAACCCCGGAAGUGCAUUGGAUACUGGUCGUCUUGAGUAUGGGAGAGGAAAGUGGAAUUCCGAGUGUAGGAGUGAAAUCCGUAGAUAUUCGGAGGAACACCAGUGGCGAAGGCGGCUUUCUGGACCAAUACUGACGCUGAGAUGCGAAAGCGCGGGGAGCGAACAGGAUUAGAUACCCUGGUAGUCCACGCCGUAAACGAUGGGCACUAGGUGUUGCGGGUAACCACUCCUGCAGUGCCGUAGCUAACGCAUUAAGUGCCCCGCCUGGGGAGUACGGCCGCAAGGCUA